AUCCAGAGGGGGAGGGGCGUGUAGCACCCGCUUAGCCAGUGAGGGCGGGUCAGAGGGACGGGCAAGGGUGAGUAGCACCUGUCAGCUAUGCUCACAGCUUUAAUAUGAUUAUUUUUUAAUAUUUUUCUUAUUUUGGCUGCUGUUCAUUGGUGCUUCCCAAAAUGAACAAAAAACCCAAAUUGUCAAAUUAACCUUUAAAAAUCAGAAGAAAACUGUUUUUGGGUUCCAAGGGUUACAGCGGUGUCUUGUUGAGUGACAAACAAAACCUGAAAUGAGCUGGACGGCGUUUAUUCAUCCCAAAGUUUGGAUUUGAACCCAGACUUCAGUGGUUGAGUUGAAGAUGCUCACUGCUCUGCAGGAAGUUAUUAGAGAGAAAAUAAAAAUGAGGCUUCAAUCAAAGUUAGCAUCUUUACUGUUUCACUUUAUUAGUUCAGUUUUCUAAAUAGAACCUCCAGAAAGUCCUAAUUCCUCAACGAUUAGUUUUAAAACUUCUUUAUUUGAUCCUUAACUGAUUCUGUCAAACGCUGCCUCCUGGUGAAGCCUUCAUUCAUGUCUCUGGGGACAGAUUGUCUUUGAUGCACUCCCACAGACUGAAUCAAUGCCUCUCAUAAUAGUCUUGUUGUGAUGAAGCCUGCAGACCAACCUGCAGGUGCAGCGCCGCUCCACCACCUUCCUGUCCCUGACUCCGCCUCCUCCGCUUCCCAACAGGAAGUAGAGUAAAAACGUGACGGACAUUCUGCCUUUCUGUGAGGCUGAAGCCGGAGGAGCACAGACACUCCAGGGGUUAUCACUGUGUAGGGUCCUUUCAACUCUCACUUGACCUCUGACCUGUCCUCCACCUCCCUUCUAAAUAAAGGUUGAGCAGUAAGCGAGGAGAAAAACGGCUGAGAACUUUCUGACAGAAAGUCUGAAGAAAAGCGUUUUGACUUGAGGGAAGAAGAACCUGCUGAUGUUCUUCAACGUGACCUUCAGUUCUGAUGUUUUCUGAGUAAAAAUCAGGCGUGUUUAGCCAAUAAGAAGCUUCUAUGGCAGCUUGGUUGAAAACAUGUUGGACACGGCCCUCCAGGGCUGGAGGUCGACCCCUGUGCACUCCGGGGCUGCAUGAGGAUCAGUCGACUGUUAAAAUAAUGAAGCUGAAGCAGCAGCUGUGGAAAGGCUGAAGGAGAGCCGGAGAGGUUUUCGUCUUCGAGCACGUCAACGCGUCCUCACAAGAGUCCGGGAGCUCUCUGGAAUCUGCAGCGUCUGGGAAGGAGACGUGUCGGCUGAAGGCCAGAUUGUGGAGCAUGCCUGUCAGCAGCUCCGACACCUCCACCACCGGCCCGAUUGGACCUGGAUGACUGACAGGUCUGGAGGAAGAGGAGCUGGGUUCGGAUGAGGAAGUCUAUGAUGGAGAAGUCAGGAUGAGAGCGGGAAGACGGAGGAGAGAAGCUCUCUCCUGGAACUACAAAUCAGAGCUCCCAUGAUGCACCGCGGCGGGCGGAGCCUCCAGUCCGUUUCCAGCGCGAUCAAGUUUAAGAGAGACAUCUAAACAUCAGGCAGACAGCGGUUCCAGUCGCAGCAUUUUUAUUUAGAAGAGACAGGCAGACAGCAGCCAGGCUAAGCUAAGGGUCCACAGAGCUAAAUCAGAGUUACGUCCAGGUAAGAGGUCGGGCAGGCGGCAAGGAGGCAGAGUCAGGAACAAAGCAAUGCGAUCAGACCACAGGUAAACGCUAGGUAUGCUGGCAGACAAACAACUGACUGAUGAACUGAUGAGAAUCAGGUGUGGAGUCAUCCAAACAUGAUCGCAGAUUGAGGGCAGUCAGUACUCAGGGGAUGGCUCCCGCCGAUGACCCAUGGGGAAAACAGCGAGUUGACUCCUGACACCACAAACGAUUAUUUUAUUAGUUGACUAAUCUCUGAUUAAUAUUUUCGAUUGGUCGACUAAUCGGAUCGCGCGUUGACUGGAUGUGAAACGCGUCUUAACCAUCAUUAGCUUUAAACUUGAAAGUGUUUGAGCUUCAUGCUAACUAAAAACAAAGACAAUAGUUUAUUAAACCUUUAAUGACUCAUGCAGCUUUUUGUCCUUCAUUUAUUGUCUAGCAUUAAAACAAGACUUAAAUCAAAUGAGGCAAUCUGAAUUAACUACAAAAAAACAAAUAAAAGUCUGCAAUUAUUUUUUAAAGCUUUAAAACAUAUAUUUAAUAAAACGUGCUUGUAUAAAGUAUUUCAAAAUGCAUAAAUACACUAACAAUAUUUUCUCACUGAGGCCUAUUUAUUAAAGCAAAACACUAAUGACAUCUUUGAACUCCAGAUAUUCCUAAACAUAAAAAAACCUCAGGAGACAUCCUGUCUUGAAGUCAAGGAUUCAUGGAAGAAGUUUAAACUGUUUGAUUAGCAGGUUUCAACGAAGGCGUUCUACACGUCAGAUGAACUCGCAGAGUAACUGCCGUAAAACCAGGCGUCUGUCGUAAACACUGAUGUUACUUCACCAUAAACCCGUAGCGCCUCCUAGUGGAGCUCUUUGUAAUAACACAUUUGCAGAUCACAUCA